AGGAAGAGCAGAUAAUGGCCCAGCACCGUGGCUCAUGCCUAUAGUCCCAGCACCUUGGGAGUCCGAGGCUGGCGGAUCAAGAGGCUAUAAGCUGUGAAAUACCCUGCCUAAUGAAUAUGCAAAUAGAUACCCGAGGUCUCCUGAGAUAAACAUAGAUAUGUUGGUGCCCUGAGAGCAUCACCCAACAACUGCAUCCCUUUUCUAGAGAAAACCCUGGGAGCGCAGCUCCUCAUUAUGGACUGGACCUGGAGGAUCCUCUUUUUAGUGGCAGCAGUUACAGGUACCCAGUUCCAGGUACAGCUGGUGCAGUCUGGGGCUGAGGUGAGGAAGCCUGGGUCCUCAGCGAGGGUCUCCUGCAAGGCUUCUGGAUACACUUUCACCAGCUACUAUAUGCACUGAGUGCACCAGGCCCUUGGACAAGGGCUUGAGAGGAUGAUAUUGAUCAACCCUAGCAACGGUAACACAAACUACGCACAGAAGUUCCAGGGCAGAGUCACUAUUACCAGGGACACAUCACGAGCACAGCCUACACGGAGCUGAGCAGCCUGAGAGCUGAGGACAUGGCCAUGUAUUACUGUGCGAGAGACACAGUGUGAAAACCCACAUCCUAAGAGUACCAGAAACCCUGAGGGAGGAGGCAGAUGUGCUGGGCUGAGGAGAUGACAGGGAUUAUCAGAUUGAAGACUUUCUUAGAAAAUGAGGUUAAUACAUUUAAGGAAAAGAACAAUGGAGCUAUUUAUGCACUCUAAUUAUUUGGGAAAUAUUCCAUAAAACAGUCUUUCUGUAAACAAAAUUUAGGGAGUGGAAAAUAAAUUAGUAAAAUGGAUAUAAGAAUGCUCUGAAAUUAUUACUGAACAUCAGUUUUUGAAUCAGUGUUGUAAAUGUUUUGGAAUACAGCUGCCAGAUUACAUUUUAAUUACUUUUAUCUUCAUUAUAUAAAGUGUCAAAAUAUGUCAAUGUUUUCAAUUUUGUGCUAUUACGAUAUGGGGUUUAUGCCAGGAAUGCGUGAUAGGCUUUGUUCUUCUACAUCUCAUUCCCAUUUCCAUUAUGAGUAUUGCGUCUGUUAACUAUUCUAGAUCAGUCAUGUUAUUUCAUUGUUGUUUAAAUGCACAUACCCCUAGUUAAAAUUUCAUUCUAAUUAUAUUUAUAUCAUUUUGAUGAAGUGUCUGUUCUGAUUUUGGCUCAUUUUAUUGCACCGUUUUCUUAUGAUCAGAUGUAAGUUUUAUACACACUCAUUAUGAAAGUCAUUUACCAGAGCAGGGUGUGGUGGCUCAUGCCUAUAAUCCCAGAACUUUGGGAGGCCAAGGCAGGUGGAUCAGGGGGUCAGCAGUUCAAGGCCAUGAUGGUGAAACCCCAUCUCUACCAAAAAUACAAAAAUUAGCUGGGCGUGGUGGUGGGCACCUGUAAUCCCAGCUACUCUGUAGGCUGAGACAGAGAAUUGCUUGAACCCAGGAGGUGGAGGUUGCAGUGAGCCAGCAUCACGCCAUUGCACUCCAGCCUGGGAAACAGCAAGACUCUGUCUCAAAAAAAAAGGUCAUUUACCAGGGUAACUAAAAGUCAUUUAGCAAAUAUGUAAUUUGCAAGUGGAUUUUCCAAAUCUGUAGUUGUCUUUUCACUCUUAUCAGUGUAACAAAAAUUACAUAUGUAUGUGUGUGUAUAAACUUGAAUACAACAGUUUUAUUUUUUCAAAAAUCAUAAUUUUGGCAUUAAGUCUAAACACUAAUCAUAAAAUCUGUUAACACAGAAUGUUUCUUUUGUCUCUAAUCUCAAGCCACAAUCACAGCAUGAGUAUUUAAAUUUCACCUACUUCAAGGAAAGAUUAUUAACUUAAGACAUUUGGAAUUUUUCUGCAUAGAAAGUGUCUUUUCCAUUUUUUAAAUUUAGUAAACUGUUAGUAUAGUUUCUGGAUGUUUAUUUUAUAUUCUGGAGAAGAUCCAAGGCUACAUUAUGCAUUUUACUGCUCAAAUCACCACAGGUUUUUGGGUACUAGGAGCUCACUUAGUUUAGAUUCUGUAUCCUUACAGCGUACCCCAUUGGUUUGCUUUUGAUCAUGUCCCUGUUUCCUGGUAUGAGAAAUUCUAAGCUCAUUGUUUUCUGUUAUAGUUUUCACAUACAGAAUCAGUUAUUUCUCUAAGGAUUUCUGGUCCUGGUAUUAAAUAGUUAUAUUAAAAUACAGAAUUGUGACAUUGGCUGUGUGUGCUGUUAAUGUGGUGUCAGUGUUUCUAGGCUCUCUAAUCUAACAGGCCUAGAAAGUGUGCCUGUGUAUAUUAACCCAUAUUUGCAGGCAAACGAAACUAUUUAUGUACCUAAUCUUCUGUACUUCAUUACAUCAGACUUUAGAACACACUGGCACUGCACUCUAUUAUAAUGCCAGAUGAAUGCUCCCAGCCUUCCUCUUUGUCUGUUCAUAACCACCAACUGCAAAAUGAGGAACCUCCUCUGUUCUGUAUGUAUUAUUUCCUGUAAAAUGUAACAUCAAAACCUGCACAGUGGCUCAUGCCGGUAAUCCCUGCACUUUGGGAGGUCGAGGCAGAUGGAUCACGAGGUCAGGAGAUCAAGACCAUCCUGGCUAAGAUGGUGAAACCUCGUGUCUACUAAAAAUACAAAAAAUUAUCCAGGCAUGGUGGCACGUGCCCGUAUUCCAGCUACGUGGGAGGCUGAGGCAGGAGAAUUGCUUGAACCUGGGAGGUGGAGGUUGCAGUAAGCCUAGAAUAUGCUACUGUACUCCAGCCCAGGUGACAGAGCGAGACUCCAUCUAAACAACAAAAAACAAACUUGCAUUAAAUAUAUAUUGGGAAAAUAAGUAAAAUUAAAUAAGAUAGUGACUUUUUAAUUGUUAAUGCACUAUUACAUAAUUUAAAAUUGUUUUCCUGAAGGAUAGUGUUCCUACUCAUCUCACCUAGGACCUUCUCUGGGACUUGCCCUCUCCUCAGACAUCCCAUCCCAGAGCUUGCUGUGUAGUAGGAGAAUUGCAAUUAGGCCCCCUUUCCUGCUGAUGAAAACCAGUUCGGACCUAACCCUGCAGCUCUGGGAGAGGAGCCCCAGUCCUGGCAUUCCUGUGUAUUUCUAUUUGGUGUUCAGAACUGCCCACAAAUGAUUCACCUUUGAGUUUUGGUUUAGUUGUGUUUUUCUUGUUACUAUUUUAAAAGUCAAUUCCUGGAGACCUGAAGAUAUUUAGUCUGCAUGGAUAUGAGUGAGAGAAGCAGUCGAUAUGUGUGUCAGUUUCUGAUCACUGCGUGUCUGUGUUUGCAUGUGUCCAGUGUGAGCUGCAGCUGGUGGAGUCUGAAGGAGGCUUGAUGAAACCUGGGAUGACUCUGAGACUAGCCUGUGGAGCCUUUGGAUUCACUUUUAAUAGCUACUACAUACACUGGGUCAGCCAGGCUCUGGGGAAGGGCCUGGAGUGGGUCUCAUGAAUUUGUAAUGAUGGAACUAGCACAUACUAUGCAGAUGCCAUGAAGGGCUGCUUCACUAUCUCCAGAGACAAUUCCAAGAACUUCCUUUAUCUGCAAAUAAACAGUGGAAGACCUGAGGACACUGCUGUAUAUUACUGUGCUAGAGACAAAGAGAGGGGAGCUCAGCAUGAGCCCAGAAAUAAACCUUCCUGCAAGAACACCUAUAGGAAAUCAGCUGCAGGGGACACUCAGAACCCACAGAUAAGAGUCAACCCUAGAGACAAGAGCAGAUGGAGGUUAAGGUUGUGUUUUGUUUUAUUGUUUGGAACUUCCUCUGCAUCUGACAGUUUCCCCAGAGCAUCUCCCUAAUUUCAGAGUUCUGUAAUUAUCAAUGUCAUUUUCAAUUUUUGUAAUCAUUGUAAUCGAUAUGGUUUAUCUCUGUGCCACCAAACAAAUGCCAUCUUGAAUUGUACUCCUAUCAUUUCCGAGUGUGGUGGGAGGGACCAGUGGAUGACAAUUGAAUCAUGGGGGCAUAUCCUAUCCAUGCUGUUCUUGUGAUAGUAAAUAAGUCUCAUGAGAUCUGAUUUUUUUUAAUGAAAAAGGAUUUUCUCUGCACAAGCUGUCUUUUGUCUGCCACCAUGUGAAACAUGGCUUUAACCUUCUGCCAUGAUUGUGAGGCUUCCCAAGUCAUGUGGAACGGUAAGUCAACUAAAUCUGUUUCUUUUGUAAAGUUUCCAGUCUGCUCUAUGUUUUUAUCAGCAGUGUGAGUAUGGACUAAUACAGUAAAUUGGUACCAGGAGUGAGGUGCUACUGAAAAAAUGCUAAAAAAUGUGGAUGCAACUUUGGUACUGGGUAACAGGGAGAGUUAUCCAGUUCUCUGGAACAGUCUGAAGGGCUCAGAAAAAGACAAGAAAAUGCGGGACAAUUUUGAACUUCCUAGAGACUUGUUGAAUGGCAUUGAUCAAAAUGCUGAUAAUGAUAUGGACGAUGAAAUCCAGGCUGUGGUGGUCUCAGAUGGAGAUGAUAAACUUGCUGGCAACUGGAGCAAAGGUUACUCCCGUUAUGCUUUAGCAAAGAUACUGGUGGCAUUUUGCUUUUGCCCUAAAUAUCUGUGGAACUUUGAACAUGAGGGAGAUGAUUUAAGGUAUCUGGCAGGAGAAAUUUCUAAGCAAGAAAAGUUUCAAGAGUUGACUUGUGUGCUGUUAGAGGCAUUCAGUUUUAUAAUGGAAGCAGAGCAUAAAUGGUAGGAAAAAUUGCAACCUGACAAUGCAAUAGAAAAGAAAAUACCAUUUUCUGAAGAGAAAUUCAAGCUGGUUGCAAAAAUUUGCCUAAAUAAUGAGGAGCCAAAUGUUAAUCCUCAAAGAAAAUGGGAAAAUGUUUCUGGAGCAUGUCAGAAGUCUUUACCACAGCCCCUCUCAUCAUAGGUGCAGUGACCUAAGAGGAAAAAGUAGUAUUGUUGGGCAGGCCUAUGUUCCCCAGGCUGUGUGCAGCCUAGGGACCUAGUGCCCUAUGUCCCAGCUGCACCAGUUGUGGCUGAAAGGGGCCAGUGUAGAACUCGAGCCAUGGCUUCAGAGGGUGCAAGCCUCAAUCUUUGGCAGCUUCGUUGUGGAAUUGAGACUGCCAGUGCUCAGAAGUCAAGAAUUUAGCCUAGAUCUCAGAGGAUGUAUAUGGAAAUGCCAGAAUGCCCAAGCAGAAGUUUGCUGCAGGGGUGGGGCUCUCAUGGAAAACCUCUGAUAGGGCAGUAGGGAAGGGAAAUGUGGGAUGGGAGCCCCGACACAGAGUCCCUACUGGGGCACCACCCACUGGAGUUGUGAGAAGAGGGCCACCAUCCUCCCCACCCCAGAAUGGUAGCUCUUCCAAGAACUUGCAGUUUACACCUGCAAAGCUGCAGACACUCAAUGCCAGCCCAUGAGAGCAACCAGUAGAAGGGAUAUACUCUGCAAAACCACAGGGGCAGAGCUGUGCAAGGCCAUGGGAGCACACCUCUUGCAUCAGCAUGAUUGGUUGAAAUUCCUCAGAAUCAUACAACAGAUUUCCAUACAGAUAUGGGUAUGUAGCUAAGGAUGUAAUGACCAUUCCAUUUUACCUAGAAUAGAAAUACCUGUUUUACUUCAUUCAUGUUUUGUCCUUAAAUAGCCCUUGGAUAAUUCCUUGCAUUAUGUUUACUCUUUAGAUGAAGAUUCAAAAGCUCAAUGUGAGUGACUGACAUUUUCAGUCACAUAGCUCAUAAAUAUUAGUCUCCUAAUAUUUUAUUAAAUUUAUUAUUGAGUAAUUAUUAUUUUUUUU